rnacentral:lncRNA from 1 species
GGGUUGAAGGGUACAAAUUCUGUAGAAUUGGUGUUUUAUAGAAUUAUGCAGUGUCGCUAGGCGAGUGUUGAGAGUGUUUAGGCAGUGGGUUUCAAUGGCUAGGCGAGCCAGCUCGUUGGGCUAGUGGUUUAGUUCGUUGGGAGAGUUUGUAUGGUGUUUUGGCUUUGAUUUCAAGGGUUAGGCAAGCCGACUUGCUAGGUUGUUAGAGCUCACUGGUUGUGCUCUCGUUGUGCGAGUGAAGACUGUUCGUUGGGCGAGUGAGUCUAGGUUUUUUGGUUAUUU